rnacentral:lncRNA from 7 species
AUGAGCUGUUCGUUUGCACUUCAGGAAUAUUUUUUUAAUUGUUCUUCUGCAAAUAUUUGCAUUUCAUAAUAAUAAUUUCAGGGUGAUCUCUAUUAUUUCACAAGCGGCUGAGUAUGAGACUAAAAUAUUGGUCUUCAUGCUUUGGAGUUUAUUUAGUGUAAAUUAGAGGGCAUUAAUCUUCCCCAGUGCUAAUGGGGCAGGGAUGUGUUGUUUUAUUCAUACUCGUAGGCUGAUUUACACAACAGAAGGAUGCAAUCUUAGGUUGGGAUAUCUCCCACUGAAUGUCAUGGACAAUCCUGUUUUUUCAGCCGUGUUUUUGCACAGUUCUUCCACAAAGAGGUGCCAGGCUUAUUCUGUUGACUGUAAGCUGCCACACAGAUUAUUUCAUCUGUGCAGGUAGGACAUUGUUCACACCUCUCCGUAAACGCACUGCUUCUGCUGGCAGUCAUUAGCUGCAGGGCCUAUGAGUGAAAUGCAGUUCAGUUGCACCAAGGUGAUCCAGAAGGGUCUGACAAUCCAUUUCCCAGGGAGAUGCCAAAAUCAUGGAAAUACAAACCUGGUGAAACCAGAGAUAGGUUUCUCAUGCAGGACAGGUAUUUCUUUACUCUUCUGACUGCUGAUCAUGAUCCUUACAGCUGGACAAAGGAUGUGGCUCAGGCUGCCCCAGGCCACUUGCACUGGAUGUGAAACCUGCCCCGUGUUCCCUGGUAAGUGGGGUUGGAAGCCAGCAUCAUACAGGAGCCCAAGGUCAGAUGAGACCCACAAUCCUUCCCUGGUCAAUGUUCUGCUUGAUUUUUAGUAAAUGGACAGUCAUUGAGGCUGGGUUGACACUUGAUUCAUGCCCAUAAACAGCACAUGUUUAAUAUUGACCAUCACAGUGUUCUUGAAGACAAAUAAAAUCUACAGGUGCUGCUUAUGUGAUUGAACUUUAAAAUGAUAUUUAAGGAGGAAGCUGCCAGAGGGCAAUUUAACCCCAGGGCUUACAGUUUCCUUCCUCAGCGUUCAAAGCAUAGGGUGAGAAAGCUCAUUUCCCACCAGCAUGGCAGUACAAUGUACUGUACAUGAAUGUGACCAGAUACCAGUAGCCCCAUGCUUACAUGGUGCCAGUGGGUGCAGACAUGGGGGACAGGGAAUUGGUUGCCACCACUUGCAGGCGUAGCAGCACAGUCCCUCCCCUGCUUUCACCCUUCCCACAAAAAGCACUGGAUUUGGAGGGACAGAAGAAGAGGAUAGCCUAGUUCCCCAAAGCCCAGAUCCUUGAGUUUCAGUCCUUGCCACGGGGAAAGCAGUGUGGGUUUUGCUGUCACCUUCACCUAUAUCAGGUGAAACUCUAACCAUUGCCUUUGACCAUCAGUUGUGGGAGCUGGAGCAGCCUGGGUAACAGCCAGUGGAAGUCUUUGGGCAGUUGUAAGGGCCAAGAAUGAGUUGUAGCAGAAAAUCCCAUAUCCAAAUCUUAAUUCAGUAGCAAAGCAAGCAAGAUUAUUUUUAUAGAUGCUACGAGAGGUUUAAAACGUUUAAGAAUAUUUUUAAAAUCUACACCAAUGACUAAACCUUGUUUCUGUCUCUAGCAUGCAUGCAGAACCAGUCUCCAUCCAUCCCCAGGGGAAUGACAGCUACAGAACCUGUAAGGAGUUCAUGCUUUAUUUGUCAAGUGAAAAAUUAAUCAGAGCCAGCCCACUUCAUAAUUUCCAGACUAGUCAUUAAUUAAAAAUAAAUAAAUAAAUAAAUAUUGGAAUAGAAAACAAGUAUUUGAUUAGCUUUGUUACAGAACAAUAGCUCUCCUAAUUUUUAUUCUGCAUAUCUUAUUCUUUGUUUAGAAAAUUCUCUUAAGAAGCAGUUGAGAUAAUUCGCUUUUUAAAACUGUACAGUUUCUAUGGUUUUGCUUUUUAAACGAGAGUACACUUUGUAGAUUUGAUUAUUAUAUUUUUCUGUUACGAUUACAUUGGACAUUACAAAGGCAUUCCCCACCACAGUGAGAAGAAAGCCAUCCUGUCGGUUUAUUGUGGAAGGAAAAAAAUAAUUAGAACAAAAUUGCAGAGCUGUGGCAUACUCGAUCCAAUUAGAGCAUGACUCUUUACUACUCUUCAUUUACCACAUUAGAAAUAAAGUUACUCCAGCAGAUUUCAUUUACGUUGUCCAAGUUAGAAUGUUUGUUCCUGCAU